GCCAUAAAUUAAUCUAUUGUGAUGGUUUGUGUAACCGUGGUAGUAGGCUAUUCUGUGGUAAUGGUUAUCUGAAAAAAUAUACUUUGGCGACCAUCAAUGUUUCCCACCUCGUUUUCCCUCCCUAAAUUUCAUUAAACCCUAUCAGUCCCUCAUUCUUAUUUUAAGUGGCCUAGUUUUGUUAUUUUAUUUUAACCCCAAUAAACACCCAAAAUCCCUUAUUCUAUAGGCGCUUCGUAAAUGUCCAAACACCCAAAUAUCAGAUAUUAUCAUCUCUUCUCCUCCUCCAUCAAUGAGAUAGCCUCCUUCUCCAACGCUAGCUCUUCACUCUCUAAUUUUACCAACUGGGUUUUCCUCUAUUGACCCAAAUUGGAUUCUCUUAGGGCUUAUGUUUCUCUUGCCCAAGUCUCCUUUUGUCCCAACAGGUGGAGCAAUUGAAGAAAGGGAAGAUGGAGAUCGUGAAGAUCUAGACCUUACUUAAGAAGAACUUUGAAUUGUUGUCGAUGUUCUAGGAGUCUUUUGUUAUCAACAUUUGAAACUUUAACUUUUGAAGUGUUGAACUGUAAAACUUAUGUAAUUGGGUUAAAACAUUUUGCUAUUAUGGUUAUUAUUAGCUUAUUGGAACGUAUAGAUUAUGAAGA